rnacentral:rRNA from 1 species
CCAGCACCUGCGGUAAUUCCAGCUCGAAUAGCGUAUAUUAAUGUUGUUGCGGUUAAAAAGCUCGUAGUUGAAUCUCUGAUCGGGAUGACCUCCUCACCUUAGGGCCAUGGUAGCUGUUGACCUGAUCAUCCUCCUAGAGCACGAUGUCUCUUAACCAGGUCAUUCGUGCUAGGACUAUUACUUUGAGGAAAUUAGAGUGUUCCAAGCAGGCAUUUGCCCUGUAUACAUUAGCAUGGAAUAAUAAUAUAGGACUUCGGUUCUAUUUUAUUGGUUCUGGACCGAAGUAAUGAUUAAUAGGGACAGUCGGGGGCAUUCGUACUCAACAGUCAGAGGUGAAAUUCUUGGAUUUGUUGGAGACGGCCUACUGCGAAAGCAUUUGCCAACGAUGUUUUCAUUGAUCAAGAACGAAAGU